rnacentral:lncRNA from 1 species
GGAAAACAUGUGACCAAGAAAUUCCCAACACAAAUAUUCAUACACAUGAAUCUUCUGGUUUAUUUAAGAUUCAUUAAAUCAAAAUCAAUCAAUGUAAUCAAUAACUAAUCAUUCAACAAUUAUCUAAUGGUUUCUUUGCAACAUUUAUCACUUAAGUAAAAAACACAAUAGGGAUUCAAAAUACUAUAAUUAUAUCAAGAGCAAGGAUAUUCACGCCUCGACCAAGAUUUGUAGUAAUAAUGAAACAAUUAGCAAUGAGACUGUUUCUGGAUCAAACACCCCAAUCCAAACAAGGAAUAUCCAUGUCUUUUUGUCUUGCUGUUCCACGGCUACAUAACAGACCGCAGUGCCAUGCAAUCCCAGCUUCCUUCGUUUAUCUUGCACCGGCAGUGUACUGAGGUAGCGCUAAUCUCGGUUCUAGAGGGAAUGUAAAUAAAUUACAAUAACUCAAAAAAAAAUCUGAAUACGUGGCUGCAAAGUUCAAAGACACAAGGCUUUACAGUUCCACCUUGGUUCUUGUUGGACACGUGCAUGUAAAAGAGGAACACGAUUCAGCAGUUGGGAGCUCACACCUUCAUGCCAGCGUUCGACAACCACCGCCUAUCACCGCUAGAAAACAAGCGAUCCAAAGUCACCAUGUUAGGCAUAUUAUCCAAUGCGAAGGUCGAUUAAGUAAAAUCUAACCUCCUAAACUACGCGCACCUGAGGUUUCACAAAUGGAGGGUUUCGGCAUGCUGCUGACUAAGAAAGCAGGUAUCCAGUGGACGCAACGCGAAGAUGUGUCUUAGGGCAGGCCAGCAGUGUUGGUGUGUUGCCACCGUAUGCAGGAGACAGCCUGUGGGCCUGGUCAGGCAGGGUAGCUUCAUUGGAGAGAUUAACAAUGGGUACACAUCACCAGAGAGGGUCAGAGGUGAUCACUGAUCAGCCAGCGGAGACGGCAUUGGAGUUGGAAGUUGGGAACGCAUGAGAGAUGGAGAGACGAGAGAUUCAAAACCCGGUCUCUGUCAUCGUGGACACUCGGAUCUCCAUCCGACGUCCACUUCAUUGCCUGAAGCUAAACCAUAUUUCAGGCACCUGACAUAGAGUGCCUCUCGAAAGGAAUAGAGUGCACGGGAAACACAAAACACACACACAGAUAGAGACUAUGCAUUGGCUGUAGACCACCCCAGAAAUAAUUGAUUGAAUCCUGUUAACAACAAAAUACGUCAGCAAUGAUUAAUUGAAUAUCACCAAGCUUGUUAACUAUCUUAAACCGCCAUGCUUUAGAGUAUGCACAGUGAUAACACCUGCUAUGGCAAAGUGUCCAUUUUAAAUUUUUAUGUCAAAACUUUUUAAAAUUCAAAGUGAAAUUGUCUAUUGGCAGGACAGUAAAAUACCAAACAAUGGAAAAACCAAGGCAUUUAUAGUACAACAUGACAGACAGUAUAAGAUUGUCAUUUCAACCUGGAGAAACUUUAGGAGCUGGAAGAGUUUAGGUCUGUGUGAGAGCAAAAUAUUUUUUUUAUAGUUUCUAUGCAAUACCAUGGUUUUGGACAAUACCGUAGUAUUUUAUGUCAUGAGGUGUUUAGUUGCACUCCUGAAAACUAUGUUUUCAAAACCAUUGUUUAUAGAUACCAUGAUAUUUUUAGAGUAUUGGAGAUUCCACUACAACCUAAAGUUUUUAUGGCAUGACUAGCUUUUGCCUAAUACCAUGGUUUAUAAUAUUGUCUCCAAACAAUGUUUCUCAAAACCAUGUUAUUUUUGGAGCUACCAAAACUACGGUAUUAUCAUGUGUAAAACAUUGUUGCCAAACAGGCCCUCAGAGUUUUUCAAAAUGGCUCUAGCUCCUCCCUUUUUAAUGAAAAAGGGCCAAACAGGCCCUCAAGAGUUUUUUCAAAAUGGCUCUAGCUCCUCCCUUUUUAAUGAAAAAGGGCCGUAAAUAACUAUUUCUACCGAACCAUUUGAUAAGGCUCAAGAGUUUUUCAAAAUGGCUCUAGCUCCUCCCUUUUUAAUGAAAAAGGGCCGUAAAUAACUAUUUCUACCGAACCAUUUGAUAAGGCUCCUAUCCAGGAGUCGAAGGCCACCAAUACACUCAUUUUUGUUCCAAAUUAUAGUUCACGUCGUUUUUAAAGAGCCAUUUGGAACCUUUGCCGCUCCCUCUCCUUGCCUAGCCAGGUGAAAAAAUUGGCACACGGUUGUUGUUUUUUUUUGGGGGGUGGGGGGGGGGGGGUGGCGUUGGUCUUUGAUUGUGAUUUCAAGAUUUCCCCACGGCUCGCACUUGGCAAGGCUGGCCUAGCUUGGUAGGGACAGGCAAGCAAAGCUGGCAUUAGUGCAUUUUUCAUGGAAAUUUAGAUACUAUUUUUUCAUGGAAACUACACGCACAUGACAGACAGUAUAACAUGCUCCAAACUUCUCUAGUUUUGAGUGGGAUGAAAAUGGUAAUUCGAACGGUUAGAACAAAUUUAAUAUUUUAAAUUAGAUAUGUAUAAAAUUUAAUAUUGAUCUUUUUUUAUGUUAUCAAGCACAUUAGUACAAAUACGAAUAAAAUAUUACAUAAAUUGCUUUAUGUAUUAUUUGCUCCCUACAACACAAAAAGUUGAAAAAAUUACCGAAUUUAUUUUCGAAUCCAUACCGAAGUUUAUAUCUAUUAUUUAAAAAAAUAUAUGAUGAAUUUGAGGUUUACCUUUUAUGAAUCUUUAGAAGCUGAAUGUUAAAAACAAGAAUACAAAUUUGUAUUAUAGAUUCUAUAUCCUAUUUAUUCACAAUCAAAGAAAAAUGACUAAAAAACUUAUUACCGAAUAAAUACCGUUUCUGACCGUUUUCAUCCCUAGUUUUGACUAAAGUUUUAAAAAAUAGCAUCUAUAAGUUAAAUUAAAUGCACCAUCGAGAUAUUUUCAUGGAAAUUUAGUAAAACUAAUUCGAGGAUGCAUGCGUUAGUGCAUUUUUCUAUAGACUUAUCAAAGUUAGAGAAGUUAAGCUUACAUCAAAUCUAAAUGAACUAUAAUCUGGAACAUAGGGAGUACCCGCUUCCUAAGCAUCCUUCCGACUCAGGUUUGUUGAUGAAUUUCCUUUCCAAAUCACGAUUUUCCUUUCUAGGGACCUACAGAUCACAUGGCCAUCAGGGUAAUGUUAUGCUUUAAAGGUGAUGGACAGAUGAUAUUCCAGGAAGAAUCACAAUAGCCACAGAUGUCAAACUAGUACAGAUGCACAUUGAGAAUGCAAUUGAGAAGCCAGUGUUUAGGAAAACAGAGAAACCAAACAAACUUUGCCUUGAAACGACAUUGGGGACUAUAAAUGUAACAAAAAUUACUCUACUGAUGUUCUGUCGAUUCAGACUACACGUUGAGAGGUUUGCUAAGAUUGUAAAAAUGUUUAUAAUUUCGGUCAUUAAAUUUAUAUUAUAACAUGGUAAUAGCUUUUGGUGCCAUAUAUAUUUAUUUUCCUUUUCUCUUUCUUUUCUGUUUAUUGUGCUCAUGUAGAAGUUGCAACUCUAAGCUAUGCUAACUUGCUUAGGACUAAAAGGCUUUGUUUUUUUCUCAAAUGGCUGUUCCUAAGGUAUUUUUUGUUGGUCCAAAUAUUAGCAUGUAAAUAAAACAGGUAUGUUAUCCCCAAAUCCAAAGCAUGAGGAACUUAUUGAGUAUUGAUUUAUCUUUAACAAUGUAUUACUAGACUUUGUUGUACAUUUCUAAAUUAUUUUUCUAAACUUAUAGCUUGUUUGUAGCUCGGAAACUGACAGUACUUCCUGUUUUACCGAUAGCUCUGGCAAAGGGAGGCAGCAAGCUUGAGGCAACAACUGCACAACUUGCAAGAAAGCCACAAGUAUGAUCUUGCAAUGGAUUCUGCAACAAAAAAGGAACACUCAUCAAUAGAAAGUUUUUUAUGCCACCUGAAGGACUCCAUAAGAACAUUCAAAACACACACACACACAAAGGAACUCUUCCGGAAAGGAUGAAAUAAAUAUCCAGUAUUGAAGACAUGAAACUGAUAGUGACUUUCUCCUAACAAAAUAAUAAGUUCCUUUGCUUCCACCUGUGUACCCAUGUAAUUUUACGCUGGGUAGUUUUAGUAUCCUACCUAAGAUAAUGUGAGAAACUCUUUUCCAAUGUUGUAGGCAACUAAUGGGAGAGGAGCUUUCAGGCCUAGGUGUAAGAGACCUCCAAAGUUUAGAGAAUCAGAUUGGAAUGAGCCUGCAUAGUAUCAGAAUGAGGAAGGUCAUUCAUUAUCCACUUAUUUUUCACGUUUUAGUUUUCUAUUCACUUCAAUCUAAUAUGCAGUAAUGUCAAACAGGACCAUCUUUUGAAAAGUGAAAUUGAAGUGUUACAGAGGAAGGUUAAUCCCUAAAAGCAAUGUCCCUUUUCUUAUUUCAAAAGGAUGAUCAUGCAUGGAAGUUACUGACAUGGACAUCGCAACAGGGCAGCCUAAUUCACCAGGAAAACAUGGAGCUCAGUAGAAGAGUACAUUUCAUGUCACAGCAAAAAGAGGAACUAUAUAGGAAGGUUUGAUGAAUGAUCUUUGCAGAAACUUUAACUAAAUAAAGAUGCUUUGUCAACAGGAAGCUAAAUGAAUUAAUUUUAGCUCCAGGCCAGUGAACCAAGAGGUGCUGCUGGUGCAAGCUCUAGCACUCCCUACAGCUUUUGUAUUGCAACACAACAAGCAGAUGCCCCUGUUAAUCUUGAACAGAGGCACUCGCAACCAAAGGAGGGAAAUCGGUGCCAAGAAUUUAUGGCUCCUGAACUGGGGUAACUAUUCUUCCCAGUAUAAAAAAAUGAGUUACUCCAAGCAUGAAGAAGCAUACUAAAAAAAUCUAUGCUUUGAUAUGUUACAGACUUCAACUGCCCUAAGAAGAUGCAGUACAAGGUGGAAAAUACCAUUGUGUUUCACCAAUUGCACACAAUGCAGAGCACUCCGGUUGCAUGAAUAUUUAUGAUAUAUAACCAGCUGUAUGAGCAAAAUAGUUUGUGUACAAAAUGUGUAGGACCAAUAAUGUUACAUGAGGGCAUGAGGCUCCUCUGCAUCAAAAGUGUACUGGGUUUCACUUGGCAUUUGCAUGAUGUAUAUGGAUUUGCUUCACUGAUGAUUGAACUUUGCAAUAAGGAAUUGUAUAAGUUUCAUGGUUUGGAACUGAAACUGGAUGCACAUUUAUUCCUAAUGCUACUGGAACUCUAAUGGGUAAGGGAGGUUGGCAGGCUGUGGGUCAGAUAGCAUCCCAACAGCUAGCAGCCCGGCACGAAAGUGGACUCAUUAUUUCUUUGAUAAAUCCUAUUAGUUGGUCCAUAAUCCUAAGCAGCUCUUUUAAUAGUUUUAUUUGAAAGAAUCAUGUGUUCUAGUUGAAGCACACUUGCGAAAGGGCCUCUAGCUAAAUUGGUUAGGUUGUUUAAUUAACACUCCUGAGGUCCUGAGUUGGAAUCCCCGUGGGAGCAAAUUUCAGACUGUGGUCGAAGAAAAUCCCCUCGUCUGUCUGGUUGCGGUCGUUCUCACAUGGGUGAGGCAAGGGUUCGAGUUUUUUAGUUGAAGCGCACUUCAACAGAAAUCAUGUUUGCUUUUUCGUUCACAUAGUUUAGGAAAAAAAACUCAUGCUUUAUCAUCAGGGAAAUUACAAAUCCUGAGCUGUACAGGAUAUACACAGGAGGAGGAAGGUCCAUAAUGGUGAACUCCAGGCACAUAAAGGUUGUGAUCACAGUACAGGAGUAUAUAAAAUCUACAAAGUGCUAUUUGUGGAACAAGAGGUUGGAGAAACCAAAGAGGCAGCAAUAGAACACCUUAAAAUGAACUACAAGCUUUCAUCUCUUACUUGUGACUUUCUUGCAAGUAAUGCAGUUCCUGCCUCAUGCUUGGUGCCACCAUAUGCAAUACACCAAUGGCUAAUGAAUGAAAAAGUAAAAAAAUGUUAGAUCAGCCAGCAAAUAAAUUUUGAACUGCUUAAAAAACGAAUAGCUUCGGUAGGCCUUCUCUGCAGCAGCUGCUGGGGCUGCAUAGCUGCAGCGAACGCAUUAUGCUAACGAAUGUUCUAAAUAGCUGGCUAUGACUUUUAGACACUAGCUUUCCAAGAGGCAAGAGCAGAAGUCUUUCUUUUUUAAAACUCACUCUAUAAAUAAAAAACGGUCUCAUAUCUUUUCACCCUAACAGUUUUUUUAUAUCUUGUAUUCCCUCUACAGAGAUCCAUCUUUGGUUAGCUAAAAAUUCAAAAUAUAUUGUACUCCUUCUAAAAAAUCAAUGCCGCUCUCCAUUUUUGGUUGAGAAGAAAUUCAGAAUAGAGAAUAAUAUUUGGAGUUCAAAAUCAAGGAAAGAUAUAGAUGCACUCUUAGAGUUGCUGUAAGAAUGCUAUAACAGACUAAAUAGCCAGCUAAGCCCAUUUUAGGGGCUUAGCAAAAGACAUGUCUAAUAUCAAGAAAUUUUACACAUAAAUAUAAAAUAUAUUGGACAUCACAAAUAGCAACUAACAAAUGAUAGUUUGACAAACACAUCAAUUCCUACAUGAUACAUAUCACAAACAAACCGAUGAUAACUAAGUUGGUUAGAUGGUCAAAGUAGCACUCCUUAGGUCCUAAGUUUGAAUUCCAGUGGGAGCAAAUUUUAGCCUGAGAUUAAAAAAGAUCACUUUUUGGUUCCCCUGGUUGUGUGCACACGAGAUAAACUGACCUAUAGGGGGUGGAUCCUCAUGUAGGGGCUAGGCUAGCCUAUAGAUGGCGGACCCUCAUGGUGCACAGGGGCUAGCUUUCAUGACCUUUUUCGGUCGGAGCUCUGAUUGAGCUUCUUCUUAAUAUAAUAUCGUGGGGGGCAGUCUUUCCCCCUACUGACCGAGUAUUUUUUGGUAGUUUGAUAAACACGGAAACAUAUCAUGUGCAAUCAAUCAUAUUUGUAUUCAAUCAAGUGAUCUAGUGCAUCCAAUCAAAAUCCAACAUUGAUUGUUGUUUUUCAUUUAAUCCCUUCCACCUGAAAUCUAGUACAUAUUUUACAUUUAACCCCUUUCAUAUGAAAACAUUGUAUCUAGAUGGGAUGCUCUGAAUGGUUUGAUUCUAGGCUUGCACCAAAUGAGUGAUUGCACAGGAUAUAUCCCCAACAUUUCUCAGGAUAUGUCCCCGACAUAAACAUCAGUUCAUACCCCCCUAACUAGGGGGCUAAAUUAAGUGCUAUUUAGCAGGCUCAAUCUAGCAAAUAGCGGCAAGUAGCAUCUAGCACUAGGAUUAGAUUAGCCUCCAGUCCUCUUAGAGGCUAAAUCUGGCUAUAGCUAUUUAAAACGUUGAUGCUGACAAUGAAUCAACGAAGGUAAACCAGUGCGUGCUACUUCUAACAAACAAGGGGUAAAUCACCAAAAUGCGAUAAUUAAAUUACCAACAUCAUAGUGAUUGGUUUCACAGGUUUAAACGGUACUAGGACUGAGCAAGCUCAUUGGCAUCAAAGUACGCAGUUACAUAUCUUGUCAAACGGCCGAAACUCGAGUCAGAAUCUGACUGGCGUUAAAGGAUUUAGCAAACAUAUAUGUUGUCGGACGGCCAAAAUUUGAGUUGAAAUCCGACUGUGGACUGGAGCUUAUCUGACGGCGGGCUGAGCAGCUAGGUUUCGUACAGGAAGAUUUAGCCACGUUCGAACCAGGAUAGCAGAGCCAAACCUCGGAUCUAAGUCAUCUAACACCCGUGCAGCACCCCCGCCGCCCUCACCGCUCAUCACACGACACCCGAAGAGGAAAAAUGGCGUCGAAAACUCGUAGUCUCUCUAGCGGAUCUCACAAGGAAUGGAUGAAGAUUGAAGAGAAGACAACAGUGGCGUCUAGAAACUUCUCGUACCUUCGCAUCCUCCCGCAAUUUCCUUCCCCGCCCUAGCCAAUGAGCAAGGGGCUGUGUGGUCAUGGCCCGGAUGCGCCGGCCUUUAUAACGGGCGCGUCGAAGUGUCUAGAAGGAUCGUAUCCGCGAGUCUACUACCAAGUCGCCAACAAGUGGAGAUAGGAAAAGCCCCCGGACUGGCCUUUUGGCGGAGGGAGGGAGCGGUUUAGCGGGCGAUUAGAGGGAGGGUUCGGGCUGCGCCGAGCUGAUUAGCGGAUUGUUAAUUGCGGCGGGAGGGAGGGUUUGUGGCUGCGCACGCGGCCACGUCGACGCCGGAGAUUUUAAACGGAACAGGUGUCGGGAGUGGAGCGUGGGAGGGCAGUGCUCGGUCCAAUCAGGCUCCGGCUUUUUAUAUGCUGGCCCCCCUCGUUGCGACUAAACUAAGCGGGCGAUAUUACGAGUGACCUGGGAACCUCGAAGGUUCUGGAACUUGUAGUACCUGAUUUUCGAAUUUUCUGCGCUUAGUGGUAUGGUAGUGACAUGUGGAAUGAUACGCAAAGUGUCUGCCGGGAGAGAUAAUUAUAUUAGUUGGGUCACUUGCAUUCCUACCUUCCUCUCUCUCAAGAUGUUUUGUGGCCGCCGUAUGCACAGUCAGGAAUGGGGUUGGUGGAGAAAGGAUAAAUGAUCGUG